rnacentral:rRNA from 1 species
GACGAACGCUGGCGGCGUGCUUAACACAUGCAAGUCGAACGGUAAGGCCCUUCGGGGUACACGAGUGGCGAACGGGUGAGUAACACGUGGGUGAUCUGCCCUGCACUUCGGGAUAAGCCUGGGAAACUGGGUCUAAUACCGGAUAGGACCACUGCCUGCAUGGGUGGUGGUGGAAAGCUUUUGCGGUGUGGGAUGGGCCCGCGGCCUAUCAGCUUGUUGGUGGGGUGAUGGCCUACCAAGGCGACGACGGGUAGCCGGCCUGAGAGGGUGACCGGCCACACUGGGACUGAGAUACGGCCCAGACUCCUACGGGAGGCAGCAGUGGGGAAUAGUGCACAAUGGGCGCAAGCCUGAUGCAGCGACGCCGCGUGAGGGAUGAAGGUCUUCGGAUUGUAAACCUCUUUCAGUAGGGACGAAGCGAAAGUGACGGUACCUAAAGAAGAAGCACCGGCUAACUACGUGCCAGCCGCCGCAGUAA